CGCGAUAUUAAAAUUGUAAGUUGUGUGUUUCAUAUUGCUCAUAUCUCUUAAUGUAAUGUAUCUUGCUGAUGCCUUAACCAUCUUGCUCUCUGUUACAGAAGUCUGUUGGAGAUGAAGAGACUGUAGAACUUCUAAUCCAAGAUCGCAUAUCUGUCCGGUGCCAACAUUGUAAAAUGCGUUUGGUUGAUGGUAGCAAGAAAUACUGCACUUUGGAGUGCUCCCUAGAUUGGCAACACCAGCACCGACUCGUACCUAGGCUCUUGCAGUUGAAAGGUAUCAGUUGAUAGUUUUUUAAUACUGCUGAGAGUAGAAACUGUAACUUACUGUAUGCCAUAGAUCAUGUGUAGCAGCACUUCUUUAGUUUUGACUUAUGUGAGAGAUAAAUUUUUUUUUGCUAAUUUAUAGAUUUUAAGUAGAACAUAGUAUCUCAGUCAUGACAAUAUAAACUGAACUUUUCAAGUCAAGUGCACUGACUUGUGCUCGAAGAAAUAGUAACUUUGUCUGGUUAGGAGAAUUGAAACAUGUUGUACACAAGAAGCAGUAAAUGGAAAUGGAAAUAAUUUCAGGUGUGUAGUUUACAGUGCCUCGAGGGAUAUAGCAAUGGGUUUACAGAUGAUAAAAAAUGAAUUAGCUAUAGAUAUUAACGGAUUCAUUUAUUUCCGCAAUCACCAGAUUAUCAGAAAAUUCAGUCAUGAUAGUAUAAUCUGAUCCUCAGUUCAGAAAUCGAAAAACAUGCUCUUCAUAAAUUUCAUGUGUUUCCAUCGUCAGACAUUGGUGCAUCCUUUCUACUGCAUUGUUUUCGUCAAGUUUUCUAUAUUAUUGGACUGGUACAAAAGUUGCAUGACCCAUAACAUGAUUUUUAACUGACCAAUUGUUUUGUUUUCACCUGUCCGUUGCAAUUUCAGCUUUUGAUUCACCAU
rnacentral:lncRNA from 1 species